GACACCAGAGACCAUGGUGGAGAGUGUUGGAUCAGCCUGGACCUGAGGACACCAGAGCCAUGGUGGAGAGUGUUGGAUCAAGCCUGGACCUGAGAAAUGGAUUCCUCAGAGCUGUAAGACUUGUGACCAUGUUGAGGACUCCACACACUGGCUUCAGAUUGAACCCUUGACUUCCACUGUCCAGGGAGUGACAAUGUUCAGGCACAGGACACCCAAAGGGAGUUAUGAGUGCACAGUGUCUGGGCUCCGCUGGCUGUGUGAGAGAGAUGUCRUUCUGAAGU